CUGCAGCCCGAGUGGUGGUCGAUUUUAUUGAGCCUAAAGCGUCCGUAGCCGGACUAGUAAACCCUUGGGUAAAUUGGGCAGCUUAACUGUCCAAAUUCCGAGGGGACUGCUAGUCUUGGGACCGGGAGAGGUCAGAGGUACUCAAGGGGUAGGGGCUAAAUCCUGUAAUCCUUUGGGGACCACCAGUGGCGAAGGCGUCUGACUAGAACGGAUCCGACGGUAAGGGACGAAACCCUGGGGCGCAAACCGGAUUAGAUACCCGUGUAGUCC
rnacentral:rRNA from 1 species